CCCUACGGGACGCAGCAGUGGGGGAUAUUGCACAAUGGGGGAAACCCUGAUGCAGCGACGCCGCGUGGGUGAAGAAGCGCCUCGGCGCGUAAACCACUGUCCCCAGGGACGAAGAUGACGGUACCUGGGGAGGAAGCUCCGGCUAACUACGUGCCAGCAGCCGCGGUAAUACGUAGGGAGCAAGCGUUGUCCGGAAUUACUGGGUGUAAAGGGAGCGUAGGCGGGAUGGCAAGUUGGGUGUUAAAUCUACCGGCUCAACUGGUAGUCGCACUCAAAACUGCUAUUCUUGAGUGAAGUAGAGGCAG
rnacentral:rRNA from 1 species